rnacentral:lncRNA from 1 species
ACUUAAGCUUAAUUAGUGUACAUAAAGUUUAUACGGUAUGUAUUUCAAUUUUAUCAGACUCUAUGUAAGUGUACGUUUAUAAAUAAAGCUCAUUUUUCUAUUGUUAAUUAGGUUUUAAGCUUUCUUUACGCUUAAGCUUGUUUAUAUUACUGUUCAUUACUGUACCUAUACUGUAGCUAAUUACUGUAGUAUAUGCACUGUAUAGUACUGUAGCAGAAAUACUAUGC